rnacentral:rRNA from 1 species
GACGAACGCUGGCGGCAGGCCUAACACAUGCAAGUCGAGCGGAGCGGCGGACGGGUGAGUAAUGCCUAGGAAUCUGCCUGGUAGUGGGGGAUAACGUCCGGAAACGGGCGCUAAUACCGCAUAAUAUCAGAUGAGCCUAGGUCGGAUUAGCUAGUUGGUGGGGUAAAGGCCUAACAAGGCGACGAUCCGUAACUGAUCUGAGAGGAUGAUCAGUCACACUGUAACUAAGACACCGUCCAGCAUCCGACGGGAGGCAACAGUGGGAAAUUUUGGACAAUGGGCUAAAGCCUGAUCCAGCCAUGCCGCGUGUGUUAGGAAGGUCUUCGGAUUGUACAGCACUUUAAGUUGGAAGGCGUUACCAACAGAAUAAGCACCGGCUAACUUCGUGCCAGCAGCCGCGGUAAUAC